GGCUACGGCUCAACCGUAGUAAGCUCUUGAAACUGGGAGACUUGAGUGCAGGAGAGGAGAGUGGAAUGCCUAGUGUAGCGGUGAAAUGCGUAGAUAUUAGGAGGAACACCAGUUGCGAAGGCGGCUCGCUGGACUGUAACUGACGCUGAGGCACGAAAGCGUGGGGAGCAAACAGGAUUAGAUACCCUGGUAGUCCACGCUGUAAACGAUGAGUACUAGGUGUCGGGGGUUACCCCC
rnacentral:rRNA from 1 species